rnacentral:rRNA from 1 species
UCUAAUACCGGAUACCACUACCGSAGGCAUCUGKGGKGGUUGAAAGCUCCGGCGGUGAAGGAUGAGCCCGCGGCCUAUCAGCUUGUUGGUGAGGUAAUGGCUCACCAAGGCGACGACGGGUAGCCGGCCUGAGAGGGCGACCGGCCACACUGGGACUGARACACGGCCCAGACUCCUACGGGAG